GGCUGUAUCCAGGUGAUGUGGGGCUGUAAGCAGGUGAUGUAGGACUAUAUGAUGGAGACGUCGGACUGUAAGAGGGUGAUGUAGGGCUGUAGGAAGGUGAAGUUGGACUAUAAGAAGGUGAAGUCGGACUAUAGGAAGGAGAUGUGGGGCUAUAUGCUGGUGAAGUAGGGCUGUAAGCAGGUGAAGUGGGGCUGUAAGCUGGUGAAGUUGGGCUAUAGCUGGGAGAGGUAGGGCUGUAGCUGGGUGAUGUGGGACUGUAGCUGGGUGAUGUGGGGCUGUAGCUCGGUGAUGUGGGAGAGUAGGAUGGACUGGUGGGCGAAUAAGCUGGACUUGUAGGACUAUAUCCCGGAGAGCUAGGACUAUAAGUCGGAGAGGUGGGGCUGUACCCGGGUGAAGUGGGGCUGUACCCAGGUGAAGUGGGGCUGUACCCGGGUGAUGAGGGACUAUAGCCUGGGGAUGAUGGGCUGUAACCAG
rnacentral:lncRNA from 1 species